AAAAAUUAGCCAAGCACAGUGGCAUGUGUCUGUAGUACCAGCUACUUGGGAGGCUGAGUGAAGAGGGAGGAUUGCUUGAGGCCAGGAGUUGGAGACCAGACUGGGCAACAUAGCGAGACCUCAGCUUGGAAGUAAGGAAGGAAAGAAGGGAGGGAAGGAGGGAUGAAGGUAGAAAGAAACGGGACAAGAUGGACUCCUGAGGCCAUCCUAAUUCUGGAACACAAUACAAUGGCCUCUGUAUGUUAGGAGGGCUCAUUUGGCUUCUCUCUAAGCCAGCAGUCCACAUCUUUUUGGCACCAAGGACCAGUUUUGUAGAAGACAAUUUUCCACGGAUGGGGGCGGGGGGUGGGGGUGGGAGGGGAUGGUUUCGGGAUGAAACUGUUCCACCUCAGAUCAUCAGACGUUAGAUUCUCGUAAGAGGUGCCCAACCUACAUCCCUUGCACGUGCAGUCCACAAUAGGGUUUGUGCUUCUAUGGGAAUAUAAUGCCACACUGAUCUGACAGGAGUCAGGGCUCAGGUAGUAAUGCUCACUCACCUGCCGCACACCUCCUGCUGUGCGGCCGGUUCCCAAUAGGCCAUGGAAUGCUUAUUGGUCCACAGCCCUGGAGUUGGGCACCCCUCUUCUAAGGCAGAAGCUUCUACUGUCUUAGGAGCAGCGUCCUGGCCUCCACAGCAGGGAGAGAGCAGGAAUACCCAGCCACAGAUACUGGUCAAGAUAUUGAUCAACUUCCUACCAUCAUGGUGGAGGCAAGCCUGGAGGCCUCUGGGUGGUCAUCAGGUCACCCCAGCACAUUUUCCUGCCCCGGACUCCUGGCCACGCUGAGGUUGCUGUGAGCAGACACGAUGUGCAGGGUCAUGGAUGUGCAGCUCAAACUCCUUGACAAGCGGGAGAUUUAUUUUAUGGCCCAAGCAGUUUGGAGACAAAAUCGUAAGGUGCUCACCCAUCCAGUGUCUCUUCAGCCGGCACUGGGAGGUGUCAAACUGACCACAUUCGACUGCCCCUUCCGCCCGCAGAAUAUGGGUCUGCGUUUCUCUUUCCCUCUUGGUGGCCAAGAACUGUCAACAUCCAGCUGUGGCUCUGCACUCAGCCGCCGCUCAGCCUGCUCAGGUUGAAAGGUCAAACGUUGUCUGGAAUUGGCAGCCCAGCUUACUAGCAGCUCUUCUGUCUUCAGAGUGCAGUGAGGGGAGCUGUCAGAGGGCUGAGGCAAGGACCAGAGAGGGAACUCCUGCGACAGAGAAAGCUCAGCCCUGGUUAUGUUCUGGAGGGAGCAUAGCAGGGUCUGUCCCAGGAACUUUAUUAGUUAGCGGUUAAGAUCCUCAUCCACAGAAAAGCCGGUAGGAAUUAGCCAGGUGGUGUGUGCCUAUGGUCCCAGCUACCCAGGAGGGUGAGGAGGGAGGACUGCUUGAGCCCAGGAGGUUGAGGCUGCGGCUAGCUAUGAUUGUGUCACUGCGCUCCAGCCUGGGUGACAAAGCAAGAUCCUGACUCAAAAAAAAAAAAAAAAAAAAAAGGAAGAAAGAAGAAAGAGAGAGAAGAAAGAAAGGAGAGAAAGAGAAGGAAGGAAGGAGAAAGGAAAGAAGGAAGGAAGAAAAGGAAGAAAGAAUGACAAAGAAAAGAAAGAAAGACGAAAAGGAAAGGAAAAGAAAAGAAAAAAGAAACAAAAGCAGGAAAGUGAGGGGAGAGGGCCAGGAAGACAGAAGACAGGAUGGGCAAGAAGGGUGGGAAGGAUUCCCACACCAGAUUCAGGAGUGGCUCUGCAUUGGGAAAUCCAUCUACGACUGCUGGGGACUUGGUUUUGCAAACAUGCACAGAGAAACCUUCAUCCACCUCUGUGCAAUGUUGGACUGAAGUAGAAAUGAGCCGCUGUUUUCUGGAAGCACCCCAUUUCUUUGAGCUGAUCUUCUCUAAUAAUGAAUUCUGGUGAAGCCUGCCAUUCACAGCACCCUGCCCUCCCAUCUGUAGGAGGUGGGAACAGGACCCAGGCCAGUUGAUCAGAGAGCUCCCUUGCCCUGGGAUGAGCAUGUGACCCAGAUGUCUCAAUCAUGGGGAAGAUCCUCUUGCCUGUUAUAGCCACUAUGCUGGAAGAACAGGAUGUGGGCUUGCUGGCCGCCAUCUUCCAGUCCACGCUGGGAACCCAUCUGCAGGAGGAGGGAAGGAGGACAACCCAGUUUGAGGGAGCAUAUGGACAGCAGCUAUAGAAGGCUCCAUAUGUGCCCAGUGCUAGAUCCACCCCAUCCCUUCCUGUUCCAUAAAUCCAUACAUCUUCUCUCACUUUUGCUUACCCUAGUUUGAGUUACAUUUCUGACACCUGCCACCAUAAAAGCCCAAAUGAUUACAGAGAAUAUUUGGCUACAGGAAAGACCCUGCAGUCUGUGAAAAAAGAGGCUGCUGGUGCAUAGUCAUCGUAGACCAGUGCAAAGAGUGAAACAGAAACAUCCAGCUUAAUCUGCAAAAGCCUUUUUGGAUCCUUGAGAGGCGCUCAUUAACUUACAGCAAAUUGGUGAGCUGAUACUCUUCUUUCAUCCAGGUGAGUGCAUUAACUAGGUUAAUGUUCCUGUCUCAAGGGACUGCUGUAGGUUAGGGUGAAUGAAUGAAAGAAGCAAGUUUUUAAACAGGAAAAAGGCUGCAGGGAAGUUGAGGUGACAAGCAUCGUUUCACCCCCAAUGGAAGGUGAGCUUGUCUGUUAGGUCCCAGGGACUGAAUUGGAGUUCCGUGGUUAGGGAAUGACCCAUCUCAACAAGCAACUUCCAUCAUCCUUCCAUGGGGAUCUGAUUAAGGUCUUCUCCAGAAGGAGAUGGCCUCGUGAGUUGGGGCUUUUUAAUCUCCCUGUCCCUCCUCUAGAAGGGCAUUGCUACUGGCCUUGCCCUGCCAAGUCUUCAGUCUACAACAACACUGCCCGGCUUCAGACACAGCCCAGAUCCUUCCCAGAUCCUUCCCAGACACAGCCCAGAUCCUUCCCAGACAAAAAGUCCUUCCGACUUUUUGCCCUUUCGGCCCAGCCUUCCCUAUCACUUAUGCUGAAAUUGGGAACGUUUCCCAAACCAACAAUUUCCCAGUCCACAAUGUUCCCUUGCUGAGUGUCCCCACAGGAGAGACAGGCAGCCUGAUAAAUAAAACCAGUCAUAAAACCUCCCUGCCUUAGCAAAGGGACUGCUUUGCCAGGCUACCGUCACAUAGCACUCCUGUCUCCCGUUUGACUUCAUAUAGUGAAAAUUGUCUAAAAGAUAAGGCAGGAGCUCUGGUUGACACCCCCCCUGCCCCCGCCUCAUAGAUCUCUCUCUAGAAGCAUUGGAAGAGGCCGUCUCAAAAAAGAAAAAUAAAAUAGAAGCAUUGGAGGAAAGAUGUGGUUUGUAGUGAAACAAAUUGGAAGUCAAGCUCAGCCUCAACCACUUACUUGCUUCUGACCUUGGCAUGAAGUUGCAGAAGCUGACCUGGGUCCUAACUGUAAAAUGCAGAGGAACUCUAUCCAUGAGGAAGCUUUGUGAAGUCGAUUCAUUGCUAAUGUCCCUGAAUCCUGCUUUGUGUAGUUCAGUGCCUGCUGCCAAGUCAGAGCUGUGACCUCAAUGAAAGUGGCCCAGCCACAGCAAACCUCAGUUUCCAUAACAGUCCUGGGAUCCAAUGUGGCUUUCACACUACAUGUCACUUCACUCUGUUAUCUCUGACAGAAAACCAACUCAAACUGGCUUAAGCAAAAAGGGUACUCACUGGGCCAUGUAACCAAAAAGUGUAGGCAUACAUGUGGCUUCAGGAAUGGCUGGAUCCAGGCACUCACAUGUGGCAUCGGGAGUCCCUCUCCUGGCUGUUGGUUUCAGUUUUCUCUGCAGGGGUUUCAUUCAAGCACUGGUUCCCUCCUCAUAGUGGCAAGGUGGCUGCCCAGGACAAGAGGCUUAUAGCCACGGGCUCAGCUACUUAAGGAUAAGUUCCAUCAGAAGCCCAAGUUGAGGCCGGGCUUGGUGCUCACACCUGUAAUCCCAGCACUUUGGGUGGCCGAGGUGGGUGGAUCACUUGAGGUCAGGAGUUCGAGACCAGCCUGGCCAACACAGUGAAACCCUGUCUCUACUUAAAAAAAAACAAAACAAAACAAAAAAAAAAACCAUGAAAAUUAGCUGGGUGUGGUGGCACGUGCCUGUAAUCCCAGCUACUUGCAAGGCUGAGGCAGGAGAAUCACUUGAACCUGGCAGGCGGAAGUUGCAGUGAGACGAGAUCACGUCAUUGUACUCCAGUCUGGGCAACAGAACGAGACUUCGUUGGCAAUGACUGGGUCAUCUGUCCAGUCCUGAACCGGUCACUGUGUCAGGUAGAAGCAUUGUUUGAUUGGCCAGGCCUGGGACACACGGCCAUCUCCAGACCUAGGAAUGGCAUCAUCUCUACCCAAACCCCGUGAACCAAGAGUUGGGGAGGAGCAAAGCUUCAGAGAAAACUCUGGGCCCUGUCAUCAAGCAGAGGAGGAAAGGAGGCCACACAGACUGAGACAUCAAGUACCCACUGUGCCCUCACCACCAGCUCCCGCCCUGGCCAGUGCACUCCUGGACCAUCUCUCCUCCCCGUCUUGUUCACAGUCACCCUCUCACCCCAGCAGAGAUCAGGCCAGGGUACUGGUGGCAAGUGAGUGAAGGGUUUCAGCAAGGGGGUCCCCACCUUCCAGGCACAGUGUAAGUGGACCCCCCACACUUGGGGGCUCUCCUGGGUUGCACAGUGUCCUCUGAAAAUUCACAUCCACCUGGAACCUGCAAAUAUGACCUUAUUUGGAAAUGGAGUCUUUGCAGAUGUUGUCAAGAUAAGAUGAAGUCAUACUGUUUUAGGAUGGGCCCUCUAUAUGGCACGACUGGGGUUCUUAUACGAAGAGGGACCCUGGCACACAGAUGCAUACAGGGAGAGUGCUGUGUGAUGAGAAAGGCAGAGAUUGCAGUGAUGCUGCCACCAGCCAAGGAGUCACCAUCAGCCAGGAGAUGGGCAUGGAUCUGAUUCUCCCUGGGAACCUCCAGAAGGAGCCAACCCUGCCAACACCUUGGUUUUGGACUUCUGUUCCCCGCAACUGUGAGACAAUACAUUCUGUGGUUUUAAGCUUUAUGAUAAUUUGUUACUGUAGCCCUGGGAAAGGAAUACAAGGGUAGACAGACACUGAUCAAGUAAGCAAACAAAUGUGAAAUUGCCCUGUGACAAGGGAGGUGCGGGGUGCCUGUGUUGGGGAAGAAUUCUCUGAGACUUGAAGUCAGAGAAGGAGUUAGCUAAUGGGGCCGACAGGGUUCUGCACACGCAGCUCACGGCCCAGAUCUUGUUGGCCAAGUGUUUUUGCAGGGAUUAGGAACUAAGAAUGGUUUUGCAAGAAGAACAUCACAGGCUGAGGGGACAGCAUGGGCAAAGGCCAUGAAGUGGGAGGCGCCCUCUGUGAAACCAACAAGCUUUCAGCCACGUGGGUCUCUCUGACGCGUUGCCUCAGCCACAGAGGGCUUUAAAAAGCCCCGAAACUGGACAGGUGUCACUGCCUGUGGCAGUAGCGGCCAUUUGGCGCCUGUGGUUUCAACUCCACCCGUUUCACAUGUCUAUGUUACCAGACUGGCCCCUGAAGGGGAUCUGUGUGCCAGGCCCUGACCUGCCGGGCUUUGGAAACAUCCUCGACAGUGUCCCCUGACCUGCGCCCCGCCUUGUGGAGUGAGGCCUGGUUGCCCAAGCUGGCUGGGCCGGGCUGUUUGUUGCUUCCAACAAACAUAGGAGAGAACGUAUGGCUGCUUUUUAUUGCCAGUGAGAGUUCCGCGAGGCCUGGCCCGAGAUGUGGCUGGCGUGAGGGGUCCCGGACCUGCUGUGCUGGGGACGCACCCAGUUCUGUGUCGCUUGGUCCAGUGAGGACUCGAGCCCCUUGGAGGCGGGGCCUCGGGCUGCAGGGGCGGGGCCCCGAGCCGCCUGGGGGUGGGGCCUCAGGCUCUUUGGGGGCGGGGCCUCAAGCUGUCUGGGGACGGAGCCUCCGGCCGGCUGGGGGCGGGGCCUCAUGCCUAAGGGGCGGGGCCUCGAGCUUUCUGGGGGUGGGGUCUCAAGCUUCAGGGUCGGGGCCUGGAGCCGCCUGGGGACGGGGCGAUCUGUUGGGGAGGAGGUUCUCGAACUGCUGAGGAGGAUCGCAGUGCUUUUGCUUCCUCUAGGAGACCAGCUGCACAGGCUGGAACAUGCCAUCUCUAUGCCUGUUUUCCCGUCGAUAAAUCCAGAGACAUUACUCUCAUCAUUUCUUCCUCUGUACACAAUAUUCAUAUAUGUAACCCCUUGGUAAAGCAGUUGUAAGAAUUAAACAAGAGGAAUUGCUCUUUCAUUCAGCAAAUAUUUUUUGAGCAGCUACUAGAUGCCAGGCACUGUUUUAGACGCAAGUGAUACUUCAGGAAACAUAAUCAGAC
rnacentral:lncRNA from 10 species